rnacentral:rRNA from 1 species
UACGUAGGUGGCAAGCGUUGUCCGGAAUUAUUGGGCGUAAAGCGCGCGUAGGCGGCUUGACAAGUCGAGUGUGAAAUCCCCGGGCUUAACCUGGGAGCGGCAUUCGAAACUGUCUUGCUAGAGUAUGGGAGAGGGAAGUGGAAUUUCAGGUGUAGCGGUGAAAUGCGUAGAUAUCUGAAGGAACAUCAGUGGCGAAAGCGACUUCCUGGACCAAUACUGACGCUCAGGUGCGAAAGCGUGGGGAGCAAACAGG